CCUCACAUGACACGGACCGUUAGGAUCAGUUACCGCUCCCCGAAGACAGCUCGACCGUGUGCUUUAUGUGAGGAUGGAUCGUUUUUAUGCAGUCUAUGGGAUGGAUACAGUGUUGACAAAAAGAGAGUGGCUCUGGUGGUGGUUCUCAGGGAGUGUAACAGUGUGUAACCUUGAUACUUUUGGACUUGAUCCUCAGUUUGAUGUCAGCUUUGGGACUGAUGAGGUGUGUGUGCUUGUGUGAGGUGAACUGUAUAUAGGUUAGUUAGAGAGCCAGUCAUCCUAUGCGUUCUUCGUAAUCCUUUCAUGAGUGCCUCAUUAGCCUGUGAUGGCCAAACCACAAGAGUGUUUAAUCUUAACCCCGUGAUGGCGAGGAGACCGAAUCUACUUCUGUCCAUCUUCCCAGGGGUUCAAGACUCUGAGGUCCAUAUGGCAGGACAUAGAAGUGAAGUCAGCAUUGUUUUACGAGCCUGCUGCUUUCAUUUUAGGCCAACAUGGCUACAUCUUGGAUUAUUGAUUUUUUCUAAUGAAUAUGUCUUGACUAAUGGGGGUCGUAUCCUAUUGUCCAGUCGAGAUGUGAAUGAUUGCCUUUUUUGAAGGUAGAAGUAAAAGAGAA
ensembl:lncRNA